ACUCCUAAGUAUACACCCAAGAGAAUUGUAAACAAACACCCACACAAAAACUGGUACAUAAAUGUUCACAGCAGCAUUAUUCAUAAUAGCCAAAAGUUAGGAAAAAAAACAUAAAAGA